rnacentral:rRNA from 1 species
UAUGGUAUGUGCCAGCCGCCGCGGUAAUACGUAGGUGGCAAGCGUUGUCCGGAAUUAUUGGGCGUAAAGGGCGCGCAGGCGGCGUCGUAAGUCGGUCUUAAAAGUGCGGGGCUUAACCCCGUGAGGGGACCGAAACUGCGAUGCUAGAGUAUCGGAGAGGAAAGCGGAAUUCCUAGUGUAGCGGUGAAAUGCGUAGAUAUUAGGAGGAACACCAGUGGCGAAAGCGGCUUUCUGGACGACAACUGACGCUGAGGCGCGAAAGCCAGGGGAGCAAACGGG